rnacentral:rRNA from 1 species
AACGAACGCUGGCGGCGUGGAUAAGACAUGCAAGUCGAACGUAACAUCUUGUGUAGCAAUAUAUAAGAUGUUAAGUGGCGAAAGGGUGCGUAACACGUAGCUAUCUACCUUGAAAUGGGGGAUAACGCCGAGAAAUCGGUGCUAAUACCGCAUGUGACUGUAAAGUUAAAGCUGGGGAUCGUAAGACCUGGCGUUUCAAGAUGAGGCGUGCGGCCUAUCAGGUAGUUGGCGGGGUAAAAGCCCACCAAGCCUAAGACGGGUAGCUGGUCUGAGAGGACGACCAGCCACACUGGAACUGAGACACGGUCCAGACACCUACGGGUGGCAGCAGUCGAGGUAUUUUUCUCAAUGGGGGAAACCCUGAAGGAGCGACGCCGCGUGAGGGAUGAAGGUCUUCGGAUUGUAAACCUCUGUCAUCUGGGAUCAAAGUGCUCCACCUAAUACGUGGAGUAUUGCU